rnacentral:rRNA from 1 species
GAUGAACGCUAGCGGCAGGCUUAAUACAUGCAAGUCGUGGGGCAGCACAAUAUAGCAAUAUAUGGGUGGCGACCGGCAAACGGGUGCGCAACACGUACGCAACCUUCCUUUAGGCGGGGAAUAGCCCAGAGAAAUUUGGAUUAAUACCCCAUAAAAUUUUGAAAUGGCAUCACUUUAUUAUUAAAGCUUCGGCACCUAAAGAUGGGCGUGCGGCUGAUUAGGUAGUUGGCGGGGUAACGGCCCACCAAGCCUUCGAUCAGUAGCUGAUGUGAGAGCAUGAUCAGCCACACGGGCACUGAGACACGGGCCCGACUCCUACGGGAGGCAGCAGUAAGGAAUAUUGGUCAAUGGACGAAAGUCUGAACCAGCCAUGCCGCGUGGAGGAUGAAGGUCCUCUGGAUUGUAAACUUCUUUUAUCUGGGACGAAAAAAGGAAAUUCUUUUCC